rnacentral:rRNA from 1 species
UGGGUAACCUGCCUUAUAGUGGGGGAUAGCCUUUCGAAAGGAAGAUUAAUACCGCAUAAGAUUGCAGUAUCGCAUGAUAUAGCAAUUAAAGGAGCAAUUCGCUAUAAGAUGGACCCGCGUCGCAUUAGCUAGUUGGUGAGGUAAUGGCUCACCAAGGCGACGAUGCGUAGCCGACCUGAGAGGGUGAUCGGCCACAUUGGGACUGAGACACGGCCCAGACUCCUACGGGAGGCAGCAUG